ensembl:lncRNA
UCUGUGUAGACAGGACUACCAGUCUGUGUAGACAGGACUAUAAUAGGUGUGUCUGUGUAGACAGGACUACCAGUCUGUGUAGACAGGACUAUAAUAGGUGUGUCUCUGUAGACAGGACUAUAGGAGAUGUAUCUGUGUAGACAGGACUAGAGGAGAUAUGUCUGUGUAGACAGGACUAUAGGAUGUGUGUCUGUGUAGACAGGACUAUAAUAGGUGUAUCUGUGUAGACAGGACUACCAGUCUGUGUAGACAGGACUAUAAUAGGUGUGUCUGUGUAGACAGGACUACCAGUCUGUGUAGACAGGACUACCAGUGUGUCUAGACAGGACUACCAGUAGGUCCCUACAGGACUACCAGUAGGUCUAGACAGGACUACCAGUAGGUCUAGACAGGACUUCCAGUAGGUCUAGACAGGACUACCAGUAGGUCCCUACAGGACUACCAGUGUGUCUAGACAGGACUACCAGUAGGUCUAGACAGGACUACCAGUGUGUCUAGACAGGACUACCAGUAGGUCUAGACAGGACUACCAGUAGGUCUAGACAGGACUACCAGUAGGUCUAGACAGGACUACCAGUAGGUCUAGACAGGACUUCCAGUAGGUCUAGACAGGACUACCAGUAGGUCCCUACAGGACUACCAGUGUGUCUAGACAGGACUACCAGUAGGUCUAGACAGGACUACCAGUAGGUCUAGACAGGACUACCAGUAGGUCUAGACAGGACUACCAGUAGGUCUAGACAGGACUACCAGUAGGUCUAGACAGGACUACCAGUAGGUCUAGACAGGACUACCAGUCAGUAUGGGACGUAGACUAGGUGUUUCUUCCCCCAUCACCUCCUGCCUCAUCCUGAAACCGCCAUGUGAUGGCUGACCUGUCAAUCAGACUGAUGGGUAACUAACGAGGAUCCUGGAAAACUGAGACACGCCGUCUACCAGGAUUAUCAACAACUUAUUCCCAUGGCUGCAAGCACGCACACACACACACACACACACACACACACACAAACACACACACACACCCAUCUGAAUGCCUUGAGCGGAGGUCCUGCUUGGCGUCAGUAAGAAGGUGAGGUAAUACACCCUGCGGAGAUUGGAAUUUGAGCCACAGGUGGCUAUUCAACUGCUGCAGCAGGGGCUCCGUGUGAGUUAUAUCACAGUAGUCAGCCGAUGCCUGGGAAAUAUGCUUCAGUACUGGGAAUGUUCCCUAUGUUUCAGUCACUGUCUGGUAAAUAUGGGUCAGUACUGAGAAUGUUCCCUACGUUUUAGUUGGUACUGGGAAUGUUCCCUACGUUUCAGUUGGUACUGAGAAUGUUCCCUACGUUUCAGUUGGUACUGGGAAUGUUCCCUACGUUUCAGUUGGUCCUGAGAAUGUUCCCUACGUUUCAGUUGGUACUGGGAAUGUUCCCUACGUUUCAGUUGGUACUGGGAAUGUUCCCUACGAUUCAGUUGGUACUGAGAAUUUUCCCUACAUUUCAGUUGGUACUGGGAAUGUUUCCUACGAUUCAGUUGGUACUGAGAAUUUUCCCUACGUUUCAGUUGGUACUGGGAAUGUUCCCUACGAUUCAGUUGGUACUGAGAAUUUUCCCUACGUUUCAGUUGGUACUGGGAAUGUUCCCUACGUUUCAGUCACUGUCUGGUAAAUAUGGUUCAGUACUGGGAAUGUUCCCUACGUUUCAGUCACUGUCUGGUGAAUAUGGUUCAGUACUGAGAAUGUUCCCUAUGUUUCAGUCACUGACUGUGAAAUAUGAUUCAGGGAAUGUGUCCUACGAUAUGUUUUUUUUUUCAGAGUGAAGUGGCCUCCAGCUUGUAUUGACGCCUGUUAUGCAAAACAAUAUUUUAUAUGGUAGGCAUUUAUGGGCUUAUAAAUUAUUUUUGAAGCAUCUGAGAAGGGCUUAUGAAGGCUCUAUGAAUGGUGUUUAAAGUCUUUAUGAAGGCUCUAUGAAGGCUCUAUGAAUGGUCUAUGAAGGCUCUAUGAAUGGUCUAUGAAGGCUCUAUGAAUGGUCUAUGAAUGGUCUAUGAAGGCUCUAUGAAGGCUCUAUGAAUGGUCUAUGAAUGGUCUAUGAAGGCUCUAUGAAGGCUCUAUGAAUGGUCUUUAAAGCCUCUAUGAAGGCUCUAUGAAUGGUCUUUAAAGCCUCUAUGAAGGCUCUAUGAAUGGUCUUUAAAGCCUCUAUGAAGGCUCUAUGAAUGGUCUUUAAAGCCUUUAUAAUUGAGCCCUGAUCUUUUUUAAUUCCCAUAUUCUCAGAUAAACAUUUUGUUUAAAAUAAAUCACGAGAUCCAGAUCGUGUCCCUCCAUGUGAAUAUUAUCUCAUUAUAUUCCUGGUGAUAAUCACAGUUUUUUACAGCUGUUCUGUUCUGCCAAAGUCACUAUUAGUUUUCCUCCCCAGUAAGUGUCUAACUGUCCUCAGGCCUCCAGCUGCUGAGCUCCAUGACCCUGUGUGUCCUGACUCAGCUAGCCCAACAGAGAGCUCUGUUUUUGGGCCAGGCUCCAGCUCCCUGACUCCUGGGAGGUCUCUCUCUUUCAGACCUCCACUGAUCCCACAGAGCAAAAGGAUUUUUAAUCAUGUUCGCUCUGUGUGUGUGUGUGUGUGUGUGUGUGUGUGUGUGUGUGUGUGUGUGUGUGUCUGUGUGUGUGUGUGUGU